GACGAACGCUGGCGGCGUGCCUAAUACAUGCAAGUAGAACGCACAGUUUAUACCGUAGCUUGCUACGCCAUAGACUGUGAGUUGCGAACGGGUGAGUAACGCGUAGGUAACCUGCCUGGUAGCGGGGGAUAACUAUUGGAAACGAUAGCUAAUACCGCAUAAUAUUAAUUAUUGCAUGAUAAUUAAUUGAAAGGUGCAAUUGCACCACUACCAGAUGGACCUGCGUUGUAUUAGCUAGUAGGUGAGGUAACGGCUCACCUAGGCGACGAUACAUAGCCGACCUGAGAGGGUGAUCGGCCACACUGGGACUGAGACACGGCCCAGACUCCUACGGGAGGCAGCAGUAGGGAAUCUUCGGCAAUGGACGAAAGUCUGACCGAGCAACGCCGCGUGAGUGAAGAAGGUUUUCGGAUCGUAAAGCUCUGUUGUAAGAGAAGAACGGGUGUGAGAGUGGAAAGUUCACACUGUGGCGGUAUCUUACCAGAAAGGGACGGCUAACUACGUG
rnacentral:rRNA from 1 species